GUGGAUGUAGCUCAGUUGGUUAGAGCGCUAGGUUGUGGCCCUAGAGGUCGAGGGUUCAAUCCCCUUCAUUCACCCCA
rnacentral:tRNA from 1 species